rnacentral:misc_RNA from 1 species
GAAGAUGUCCCGAUAAGGACGAAAUGCCUGCUCAUAACUUUCUGUUCCUAUUUCAGGGAAACAGUGUCCCAGCUGAAGGAAUGUUUUUGAUAUAUAUGAGGAGAAGGGAUAUCUUUCGAUGUCUUGGGUUGCAUGAUUUAGCAUAUUGAUAGAUGAUGAUUGCUGUCUUUUAUGCUAUAAGAAGUUGUAUGGUUUCUAUGCAGGUUGCUUGAAGGGCCAGUUCUAAAUUUCUGUGCGUGGAAAACGUUAGGUACGCUGAUAAUUCUUUCCUUCCUCAUAAUAAUUAAAAGGGAACUCUUUUAGAUAUUUUAUGCUUUUG